CUUUCCCUCUGGCGGCAUGCCUUACACAUGCAAGUCGAACGGUAACAGGUCUUCGGAUGCUGACGAGUGGCGAACGGGUGAGUAAUACAUCGGAACGUGCCCGAUCGUGGGGGAUAACGGAGCGAAAGCUUUGCUAAUACCGCAUACGAUCUACGGAUGAAAGCAGGGGACCGCAAGGCCUUGCGCGGACGGAGCGGCCGAUGGCAGAUUAGGUAGUUGGUGGGAUAAAAGCUUACCAAGCCGACGAUCUGUAGCUGGUCUGAGAGGACGACCAGCCACACUGGGACUGAGACACGGCCCAGACUCCUACGGGAGGCAGCAGUGGGGAAUUUUGGACAAUGGGCGAAAGCCUGAUCCAGCCAUGCCGCGUGCAGGAUGAAGGCCUUCGGGUUGUAAACUGCUUUUGUACGGAACGAAAAGACUCUUUCUAAUAAAGAGGGUCCAUGACGGUACCGUAAGAAUAAGCACCGGCUAACUACGUG
rnacentral:rRNA from 1 species